GCACGUCACGUCACCUACUUCGCUGCAAGUCAACGUGCCAGUGGACCAGUUGUCAAGACUUUUAAUUGGGCAGAUAAUAAAACAGCUGGUCCGGCGCCCGUCAUUAGCGCGGCCAGCGCGUGCGCCGCGAACGCGUCAGCUGAUCCGGAGAUAUUGUUAUGCACAGCUUUAGUUAAAAUAACGAAUGUCAAAAAUAACAAAUCUCACAUUAUUCGAGCUAUGUUAGAUCCCGGUUCGCAGAAAUGUUUCUUAACUGAACGCAUGAAAAAUAAGUUAGGAUGUUCGGACAAUAACAAAAAGUCAGCUUGCGUGUACGGCUUAAAUAAAUUAUCAUUUACGGUCUCAGAUCGAUGUGAGCUCACUGUAAGUUCGUUAACGAGUCCUUAUGAAGUUAAUAUUCGUUGUUUCGUCGUGGAGCAUCUUGUAGACAGCCUACCUAACAAUUAUGUAGAUACCUCAGAAUUGAACAUACCUGCGGACAUUCAGCUGGCGGAUCCUGGGUUUUAUCGUCCUUCUGAAAUCGAUUUGCUACUUAGUGCUGAAUUUUUCUUCAAUAUCACAACGUCGGAGAAAAUAGAACUUGGACCAAACAAGCCUAUUCUUCAAUCUUCAAAACUAGGCUGGUUGGUCGCGGGGCCCACGGGUGACGUUGAGUCGGAUGAGGACGAGAUUGUGCGUUGUUGCUUUACGAAACAAAUCUCACAAGAUCUCACACGGUUUUGGGAACUUGAAGAAAUUUCAUUACCGAACGUCACUAAUAGCGAGGAGGAUAAUAUUUGCGAAAAACACUUUUUAGAUAAUACGCGGCGUUUAGAUAACGGUCGAUUCUUAGUUAAAAUGCCGUUACGUGAAAAUCCGGAAACCGCACUUGGCGAUAGUUUUAAUAUGGCGAAAAAACGAUUCUUGAACUUAGAAACUAGAUU